UCUAGUUGUUUAUAAUUAGCCUUUUUUCUUGUUUUCAUAGACAUACCCCUGGUUGACUACCUGAUUGCUUGCUUAUAGAAUAUAGAUGUUAGGAUGUUUGCCUUAGCCUAACUUGAAUUAAGUAUCCUUUACAAGAGGGAAAAAAACAACCAACCAAACAAACAAA